ACUCCUACGGGAGGCAGCAGUAGGGAAUAUUGGACAAUGGGCGCAAACCUGAUCCAGCCAUGCCGCGUGUGUGAAGAAGGCCUUCGGGUUGUAAAGCACUUUUGUCCGGAAAGAAAAGCACUGGGUGAAUACCCUGGUGUCCUGACGGUACCGGAAGAAUAAGCACCGGCUAACUUCGUGCCAGCAGCCGCGGUAAUACGAAGGGUGCAAGCGUUACUCGGAAUUACUGGGCGUAAAGCGUGCGUAGGUGGUUUGUUAAGUCUGAUGUGAAAGCCCUGGGCUCAACCUGGGAAUGGCAUUGGAUACUGGCGAGCUAGAGUGCGGUAGAGGGUAGUGGAAUUCCCGGUGUAGCAGUGAAAUGCGUAGAGAUCGGGAGGAACACCAGUGGCGAAGGCGACUACCUGGACCAGCACUGACACUGAGGCACGAAAGCGUGGGGAGCAAACAGGAUUAGAUACCCUGGUAGUCCACGCCCUAAACGAUGCGAACUGGAUGUUGGGCUCAACUUGGAGCUCAGUAUCGAAGCUAACGCGUUAAGUUCGCCGCCUGGGGAGUACGGUCGCAAGACUGAAACUCAAAGGAAUUGACGGGGGCCCGCACAAGCGGUGGAGUAUGUGGUUUAAUUCGAUGCAACGCGAAGAACCUUACCUGGCCUUGACAUCCACGGAACUUUCCAGAGAUGGA
rnacentral:rRNA from 1 species